rnacentral:misc_RNA from 1 species
AAGUCGUAACAAGGUUUCCGUAGGUGAACCUGCGGAAGGAUCAUUACCAAUAUAGCGAACCGAGCGUUAGCGAGGCUUCGCGAUCAAAUUGUAUUUAAAACCCAACUCUUUAAAUGUAUAUUAUUAUUGUAUUUUAAAUAAUAAAAGAUCACUUUCAACAACGGAUCUCUUGGCUCUC